GCCGAGGUAGCUCAGUGGUAGAGCAGGGGACUCAUAAGCCCUUGGUCGCGAGUUCAAAUCUCGCCCUCGGCACAA
rnacentral:tRNA from 1 species